UGGGGAAUAUUGGACAAUGGGCGCAAGCCUGAUCCAGCCAUGCCGCGUGAGUGAUGAAGGCCUUAGGGUUGUAAAGCUCUUUUGUCCGGGAAGAUAAUGACUGUACCGGAAGAAUAAGCCCCGGCUAACUUCGUGCCAGCAGCCGCGGUAAUACGAAGGGGGCUAGCGUUGUUCGGAAUCACUGGGCGUAAAGCGCACGUAGGCGGACCGUUAAGUCGGAGGUGAGAGCCUGGGGCUCAACCCCAGAACUGCCUUCGAUACUGGCGGUCUUGAGUAUGGUAGAGGUUGGUGGAACUCCGAGUGUAGAGGUGAAAUUCGUAGAUAUUCGGAAGAACACCAGUGGCGAAGGCGGCCAACUGGACCAUUACUGACGCUGAGGUGCGAAAGCGUGGGGAGCAAACA
rnacentral:rRNA from 1 species